UCAUAGAAUGAUAGAAUGAUGAGAGUUGUCUUUCUCCACCAAAAGCAACUAACAAUUUUGUGCUGGAGUUGGAGGCAUCCGAGACGUGUCAACACUAGAGGUUGUGAUUGCUUCAACCAGAUGAAGAAACCUCUUCCUGAGAUCAUGAGCAAGCUUCUCCAUGGCCAUCCUUUCUGGGUUUUGGGAGAGUUCAGAUCUUGAAUCAACACCAUAAGGUAGUAGUAUUAUUAUAUGUCAUGCUAAUCCAUGGCUUCUGAAAGGAAUGGUGAAACUAAUCAAUUGCCAGCUCUUUUAGAAGCUAGUGGACGGGCAUGCUAUUAUUACCAUCAGUGUCUUUUUAUUUAUUUAUUUUUCUUUUUGGGAACAAAGAUAUAAGCACUUCAAAUGAUUAUACUUAAUUAGUUUUUUUUUUACUUUGCUUUUCACAAUUUCCUCUGUAGUAUAAUUCCG